GCGCGGGGUUGGUGGGGAAAUCUGUGGAAGCUGCUGAGUGUUGCUGGCAGAGUGUUCUGGAGCCCAGCAAAACCCUCCAAAACCCUUGCACUUCCCAAAAGAUAAACAGAAUAAGCGAAAGAAGGGAAGCCUCUUCCUCUAAGGUCCGGGUUUCCAAUAGUCCUGGAUCUUUCUGGAGCUAGGAAGAGGAGCAGUUGGCAGCGGCCACUGCUCACAUCCGGUCUUGGAAAGACGGUUUUUCUCUGUUUCGGGAGGAGGGAGGUGAGGGACUUGCAGUACCUGGUCAGGGAACCUGCAAAGAGAACUCUGGGGAGGAGAACAGCCCCGGAGCGGAGCAGCCAUCCUCUGAUCAUGCCCCGGUAAGGGGGACGGACUUCGAGGGCAACUCGUCGCGGACUGCCUGGGCUUAACCAGCAAGCUGCGAACGGCCAGGGGCCCGGAACUGCGCGGCACGGCCGGCCCGGCGGGGGGCUAUCGUCUAUGUCUUCUUGGGGCGCCAGGCGGAUCGGGGUCUCGUUUUUGCAGGAAGAGCCCAGCGCUGGUGGCUUCAGGUGGCUGCCGCCGCCGCUGCUAGUGCUGUUUCCGCCGCUUGUGCGAGGAGCAGAGACCGCCGAGCGGGGAGACUACUGGGCAGCGAGGCAUCGGACAUGUGUCAGCACAUCUGGGGCGCACAUCCGUUGAGCCUGAAGGGAGAUUUGCUGGAACAAUUCAAACUGCGAUAUUGAUCUUGGGGGUGAUUAUUCCUGGCUGGCUGUCGGGUGGGAGUGCAAGUGUGCGCUCGCUUAGGAGGUGUGUGCCUGUGUGCCCGUGUGCAUGUGUGUGUGCCGUGUGGGGCUUCCCCCUUCCCCCCCUGUUUUCCCGUCGAGUGAUGCACUUGGAAUGAGAAUCAGAGGAUGGAAAUAGUCUGGGAGGUGCUUUUUCUUCUUCAAGCCAAUUUCAUCGUCUGCAUAUCAGCUCAACAGAAUUCACCAAAAAUCCAUGAAGGCUGGUGGGCGUAUAAGGAGGUGGUCCAGGGAAGCUUUGUCCCAGGUAAAUGCACAUUUAUUUUUGUUACCUUAUUUUUAAGAAAAUAAUUUGAAUGAAAUAUAGUAUUAUUUCCCGAAUUUUGCAUUUGCUACAUGGCAUGGAAUGUAUUGCAAAAGGCACCAUAGUCUGACUUACGUGUUACAUGAAUACUCCAUCAAGAGAAAGUUUAUUAAAUGAGAGGUAAUUUAACCAAGACCAUGUUUUUCCAUCUGAGCUUACAUCUUAAGGUCUUUCCAUCCACAGGUGGUUCUGUCUGGAGAGGGCAAUGGAGGAGUCAGGAUUGAAGUUCUCUAUGCUGAAAUUUGGCUAAGUGAGAAAGAGCCAUUUUUUAAUAUUAAUGAAACAGGAAGUCUGGAGAGUCUGACUGUGGCAAUGAAGCUUUCUGGGAUGCAUGCUGUCACUGAUGUCAUUUCAGUAGCAGUUAUGGUCAGAACCUAGCAGAUUGAGCCAAACACCAGCUAAAAAUAGCAGGUAGAGAGGAUGCAGUUAAUAAGAGGGAUGGAGGAGAAAUGAAGACACGUUAGUGCCAGAAGCAUACUUCAGUUUCAGGGCAAAGUGGAGGGUCCUUGUUUUCCCCCUACUCUUAUCCUUAUCAUAGUCUUCAUCCUUCUGCUGCUUCAAGACUUUGUAGCACUUGUCUUGAAGUGCUGCAUGAAAGGGCAUGAAUGUUAAAGAGAAGGAGGGAAGGGGAAGCAGGUGAGAUUUCAAAGUAUUUUUAACUGCUUGUGUGUGAGAGAGUGGGAAAUAACUUCUCAAAAGGAGUCAAUAUGGGGCUCUAAAUCAGGCACUUGAAAACAGAGGGCCCCAAUUGUCAGUUGUGGACUUUGUGAUAUGGGGAAGAGCGGUGUUGCCAGGUCACCUGGUUCAUUCUUGGCUGCUAUGCCUUCUUUUCUGGUUUUUCUAUAGAGUUCAUUACAUCACCUGUUCAGAGCUAAGCAAGUUGCCAAACCCCUGGGCAUCACUUUUCUCAUUUGUAUUGUGAGACAUAAAUAGGUACUCUUGGAGUUUUUCAGUAGGAGGAAACCAGGCACAGUGAAGGAGAGUGGAUGAUCCAGAGAAAAGCCAGCUGACUGCCAAAUAGUCUCAUAAAUUGUUAUUAUUAACUUGAUAAAUUUACAGUGGUACAUUUAGGCCUUGGCCCAGUAGGCAUAGAAACUGGGCUUGAUUAAUUCACCCAGAAAUGAUCAGGUUUCUGAUCAUACUCUUAUAAUAACUUAAUUGGUACCUCUAUGUUCAUAUGGCAUGUUAUAGAUAUGUGAUAUCCCUAUCCAAUGGAUGGAAGGCUUGUUUGUUUGUUUGUUUGUUUUUUCUGGGAAAUCUGCUUCUAAUAUUCAAUAUAUCCCAGUAUUUACAUUUGUAAUUAUAUUUUUGUGUUUUGUGAUCAUUAAUUAGAGCGACAAAGGGCAUUCUGCCAGGUUUUAAUGUCUUGAUAAAUUAGCAAUACCCUCUGUAGUGACUGAAAUCUUCUUGAAUAAUACUGGAUAUAUUCUGAGAAAUUUUGCUUUUCUGCUCCAACGUUUUUCAAUGUCUUCUCCCAUUGACAACAUUAUUUCUUUACAUGUACUCAAGGCCCUGUAUUGAGUUGGUUUCUAUUUCUAAAACAACUACAGGAAAAAAGUUUUAUUUUUCCUUUAUGUGUUGAUUUAAACGAAUUUAACUUUCCAGUUUUAAAUGAGAUAAUAUGUACAAAGCCUGCUACAUGGGAAGCAAUAGGGUGUGGAGUUCUGGGCAUGGACUAUGGAGUCAGAUGGAUUUGAAGUCAGUCUGUCUCUAUGGCUUCCUUCUGGUAGAACUGUUAUCAAGUUGCCUACUAACUCUUGGUGCCUCAGGUUUUUCAUAUGUUAGAAUGGAGAUAAAGACCAAAUCAGCCUGAUGAAGUUUUUUGAUGAUUAAAUUAGAUAAGGAAAGUGGUUCAUGGUAUGAGUCUGUACAUAUCAGUUGCUUUUGGCAUUACUAUCAUUAUUUUAUCAGUAACAACAUAACUGAAUAUUUGAUACUUCUCUGAGAAAGGCAGAAAACUGUAAAUUGGGAAAUGUAAUCAUUCAAGUGAGUGUCUCUUAAUAUACAAGAACAUGGAAGAUGUUUAGUACAUGUUCAUUGAAUUUGUAAGUUCAAAGAUCUCCACACAGUGGCCAUUGGAGAGGUUACUCCAUCAUCUUCUGGAUUUAACAGUCCUAAAGCCCUAUGGCUUCCUGAUAAAGAAGACUAGUAUCUGAUGAUCUCACUCUCUAAAUUUUGGGGAAUUCCAGCUUUCAUAAAAGAUGAGUCAUGAGAAUUUGUGAAUUAAGUAAGUGGACCCAAGGCUCUAACAUUUGACAGACUCCAGAUGACCCACUUGAUCUGAAUUGGUGCUUAGGACAAUGGUCCAUUUUUCUCAUAUUAUCAUUACUGAAUGUAAGAUUAAAAGUGUUCUUUACUUUGCCACUGAGCCUUUUUUUUUUCAGAAUAUGGAUGCAUAAAAGAGAAGAGAACUUCAUAUGACUCAAUUAUUUGGAUGAAUUUUACUGUCCUAAAAGUUUUUAUAAGAGUCCAGAAAUAAUUACCAGUUGGUGUAACAGUUGUGUAUCUGUGACUUCAACAGAGCUUGUGGUGGAUAGAAGUACAUGGCACCUAUCGCUAUGGCAAACAAGGCUGAUUUAACACUAGAAUACCCCACUUUGGUCAGUUCAGUAGUACUUAAGGAAUAACCACCUGAUACUAAGCACCAUGGAUGGAACUGUUGUUAAAAAGCUAAUUGGGUAGUUCCCAUUGUGGCUUAGUGGGUUAAGAACCCCACACUGUGUCUGUGAGGAUUUGAUCCCUGGCUCAGUGGGUUCAGGAUCCGGCAUUCCUGCAAGCUGUGGCAUAGGUUGAUUUGGCUCAAAUCCAGUAUUGGCAUGGCUGCAGCUCCAAUUCAACCCCUAGCCCAGGAAAUUCCAUAUGCUAUCAGUGUGACUGUGAAAACAAAAGGAAAAGAAAGGAAAAAAAGAGCUAAAUGAUAUGUGAUUCUUAUAUAAAUAAACCCAGAGUCUAAAGGGAAAUAUAAGCCAUCAACCCAUAAUGUAGUAUCAGGGCUUUCAUAGGGUUGGUUUAUAGAACAUGUAAAGGAAGCCAUAAGGGUUGGAUUUGGUAAAUCCUGGUGUUUACUAUACUGUAUUAUUUACUGCUCCAAUCUACCUCUUCAUCCAACAGCACCCGUAACCAUAGUCUGCCUUAAAGUCUUACACCCAGAGCCCCGAUUUUGUUUGAGUGUUUACCCUCCAUGCUGCCAUAUUCCCCUAGCCCCAGGAAAUUACUCUUGGCUAAUAUAUACACAAUCAGUUACUUUUUAGACAGUGAUUGAUUUAGACAUCAUGAUGGUUAAUACUUAAAAAAUAUUUUGGCUUCACCCACAGUUGUCUGAGCCAGGGAAUGAAUCCACACCACAGCAGUGACCCAAGCCACUGCAGUAACAACAUUGUAUCCUUAACCCACUGUACCGCUAGAGAACUCCCAUGAUGAUUAAUUCUAUGUGUCAACUUGUCUGGUCCAUAGUACUCAGAUAUUUGAUCAAAUAUUCUAGAUGUUUCUGUAAAGAUAUUUUUUAGAUGAGAUUAACAAUUGCGUUAGUAGACUUUGAGUAAAACAAAUUACUCUAUAUAAUGUUGGUAAGCCUCAUCCAAUCAGUUGCAGGCCUUAAGAAGCAAAAACUGAGGGAAAUCGUGCUUGCAGACGUUUUUUUCCCUUGAGCUACAAUAUCAACUGGGGAUCCAGCCUGUUGGCCUACUUUGAAAUUUUCAGGUUUUUUAGUCUCCACAGACAGUCAUGCGAGCCAGUUCCUUAAAAAUUAUUUUUGUCUCUGUGUGCACACACACAGGCACACACACACACACAUGCUCUCAAACUAUUGGUCAUAUUUCUCUGGAAAACCUUGGUAAAUAUACUCAUAUAGAUAUAAACAUAUGAUAAACAGUUCUAUCCAUGGGUUGAGAGGGUAAGUCUGCUGAACAAACUCAGGAAAAAAAGCAACACUAAAAAAUGUAGAACAGGAAGCUGGAAAGAACCCAGGUCUUUUAUGGCCCACUUUAGCAUUGAAUUAACCAUGGAACUGACUAAGCGUUUUUUUCUUAAGUGAGAUAAUAAAACAUCUUAUUAUUGGAGGCACUUGAGUCAGGAUUUCUGUUACUUGCAGCCCAAAGCAUUCUUUUAGAUUAACAUUUCUCAGUAGACUCCACUCUUAAAGAGCAAACAGAAAAUUUCACCUCUUUGGAAUCCAGAGAAGAAGCAGUAAUUUGAAGGGAGCCUGGGUUAAAUCCAUCUACUGAUCUUGGAGAGUCUCGAGAGGCAACAGGCAACUGGAGCUUACCCUGGGGACAUAAACACUGAUGGCAGUCAUUGUGAGGAGCUCAUUCUACCACAAGGACACUGGUCCUGGCAAGCAACAUUUUGAAAUCUUCCCUCUACCUUAGGGAAGCAUGAGUAGGGUGGCUGUCUUAAGACUCUCUGAGCCCACGUCCACAUCCAUUUCAGGACCUGGCCCUUACACCAGAGAGCCCAGGACCCAGCCUUGCACACCAGUUACAUUAAAUCUGAGCCCAGCCUUACUAACCAGUGGGAAGGCAUCAACUCUGGGAACCUCAAGGCCCUGCAACCAGAGGACUCACCCGCAACAUUUGGUCUGCUCUACCAGACACUUUGUGACAUGGACCUUUCCACCAGUGAAUGGUAGCCUCCUCACAGAACAGGGCUGCCAACCAACCAGAUUGGGGGCCAAUCACACCUACCAGACUGCCAACAGUAGUCAGCCUACCAUUACAGAAAGACCCAUGCAGCCCAUAUGCUCUAGGGCAAACCUAGAUCAUAUACAAAAAGCCACAUCACAGUUGGGAAAUGUAACCAACCUUCCAAAUACAUAGAAAUAAAAACAGCAUGUUAAGUAAAAUGGGGCAAAAGAAGAGUAUACUCCAAAUGUAAAACCAAAAUAAAACCACAGAAGAACUAAGAAAAGUGAAGACAAACAAUCUACCCAAUAGAGAAUUGAAGGUAAUGAUUAUAAAGCUGCUCAAAGUACUUGAGAGAAGAGGGGGUGAGCAGAGAAGUUGGAAGUUUUAACAAAAAUAAAAUGUAAAGAAGAAAUAAAUGAAAUAGAAAUGAAGAAAACCAUAGAAAAGGUCAAUGAAACUAAAACCUGAUUCUUUGAAAAGAUCAACAAACCCUUUGCCUGACUCAUCAAGAAAAAAAGAAAAAGGACUCAAGUCAAUAAAAUUAGAAAGAAAUAGAAGUUACAAUGGACAUUUCAGAAAUACAAAGGAUCGGAGUUCCCAUUGUGGCUCAGUGGUUAACGAAUCCAACUAGGAACCAUGAGGUUGUGGGUUCGGUCCCUGCCCUUGCUCAGUGGGUUAAGGAUCCCAUGUUGCCAUGAGAUGUGGUGUAGGCCACAGACACAGCUCAGAUCCCACAUUGCUGUGGCUCUGGCAUAGGCUGGCAGCUACAGCUCUGAUUAAACCCCUAGCCUGGGAACCUCCAUAUGCCACGGGAGCAGCCCUAGAAAGGCAGAAAGUAAAAAAAAAAAAAAA
rnacentral:lncRNA from 1 species